rnacentral:rRNA from 1 species
AUCGCAAGACCUCACGCUUUUGGAGAAGCCUACGUCGGAUUAGCUAGUUGGUGAGGUAAUGGCUCACCAAGGCGACGAUCCGUAACUGGUCUGAGAGGAUGAUCAGUCACACCGGAACUGAGACACGGUCCGGACUCCUACGGGAGGCAGCAGUGGGGAAUAUUGGACAAUGGGCGCAAGCCUGAUCCAGCAAUGCCGCGUGUGUGAAGAAGGCCUUCGGGUUGUAAAGCACUUUAAGUUGGGAAGAAAAAACUCGCUCUAACACAGUGAGUCUUGACGGUACCGACAGAAUAAGCACCGGCUAACUCUGUGCCAGCAGCCGCGGUAAUACAGAGGGUGCAAGCGUUAAUCGGAUUUACUGGGCGUAAAGCGUGCGUAGGCGGUUUGUUAAGUCGGAUGUGAAAGCCCUGGGCUCAACCUGGGAAUUGCAUUCGAUACUGGCAGGCUAGAGAACGGUAGAGGGAGGCGGAACUCCAGGUGUAGCGGUGAAAUGCGUAGAUAUCUGGAAGAACACCGAUGGCGAAGGCAACCUC